UGCUUAUUUCUCCAGCUUAGGUGGUUGUUUCGCUGAUAGCAGGUCACUGUCAGCUGCCUCCAGGAAUCACCUUUGGUUGAAGGGAAUGCUUUGCCCAGGUCUCACCCCAUUCCUAUGGCAGCUGGCAUUUAACGACUGGCUGAUAUCUCCUUUCUUACACCAUUAUUUGAUGAAAUUUAAAAUUUAAAUUAAAAUGUAAAAGUUUUGUUUCUUGUUUAGAAAAACAUUUGCUUCUCCCUCACUACCGUGUGCAAAAGUUGAGUUUGAGGCAGGUAAACCUGAAAUCAGCAAGAGCUGGAAGCACCCAGCCUCCCGAGUCAGAGUCCUUAGAGCUUCAUCAUAGUGACUACACACUGGCCACUUGAGGGCACUGUGGAUCCACUGAGUGGGUCACUGAUAGCGCUGUCUGGGAGAGAGAGGGUUAAGGGAGACAGUCUUGAUUUCGUCUCUGUAUCAGGGAUAUUACUAGAUGAACCGGAGGUAGUGCUGGCACAGGAAGAGUUAAUCAUAGCCUUAUCAGAUCAACCGUUAUGCAUGUGUAUUUGUCAUGACAGGAAGCCAUGAACUGCAGCCUUAUGUGACCUCUCUAGGUGCCUAAGUUUGAAAGGGAGUGUGGGGAGGGUUUCAGCAGGGCAGCCUGGAUAACCCAAGCCAGGCAGAGACAAAGGAGCAUCUGUCUCAGAUGAAGAUCUCAGAAGCUGUGGGGAUGGCUGUCUGCCCGGAAGCCUGCCCCCGACCCCUUGCUCAGCGCAGCUAGCUUCCCCUGCCCUGCAGGAAGCUGGACAGGAAGGGGGCAAGCCUGAGUUAACCGAGCUAGUCCUGGAGUACAGGGUGCCUAUGGGAGCCUACAGGAUGAUGACAUCAGAACAGUGACAUCACAGUAAAAACCUCCAAAAAACGGUGAGGAGGAGCAAAAGCCCUGCUUUCUCACCCCAGGAAACCAGCACCCUGAAAAGGGAGAUGCUUAGUCCUGACCUGCCUGACUCUGCCUGGAAUACCAGGCUCCUCUGCCAUGUCAUGCUUUGUCUCCUGGGGACAGGUUCAGUGGCUGCUGGAGUCACCCAGUCCCCAAGGCACCUGAUCAAAGAAAAGAGGGAAACAGCCACUCUGCAAUGCUAUCCUAUCCCUGAACACGACACUGUCUACUGGUACCAGCAGGGUCCAGGUCAGGGCCCCCAGUUCCUCAUUUCGUUUUAUGAAAAGAUGCAGAGAGAUAAAGGGAGCAUCCCUGAUCGAUUCUCAGCUCAACAGUUCAGUGACUAUCAUUCUGAACUGAACAUGAGCUCCUUGGAGCUGGGGGACUCAGCCGUGUACCUCUGUGCCAGCAGCUUAGGCACAGCCCUGCAGAAUUACUGGCUUUCUGUACCCAAACCCUCCUGUCUCAGCUGGGGAUGUAACAGGGAGAAGGAGGUGGGGGCUGCCACACAACUUUAGCCAAGCCCCAGAGAUGCUUCUAGUUCUUUUCAAACAUUUUCCCCUGUCCUGCUGAGCUCAGUGAGAGCUCCUGCACUUGUGGGCUCUGGACUCACUGGAAGUUCUCACAUGUUAGCCAGUACUUUUUAAUUCCUAGCAAGUGGUGGGAGCUCGUACUCUGUGCCAACAUAUGGGCAUGUGUUUUAGUGUGUUUUCUGUUGCCAUACAGAAUACCUGAGACUGGGUAUUUUAUAAAUAAAUGAAAUUUGCUUCUUAUAGCUCUGGAGGCUGGGAAGUCCAGGGUCAAGGACCCACAUCUGGUGAGGAUCUUCUUGCUGGUGAGGACUCUGCAGAGUCCUCAGGUGGCACAGGACAUCAUAUAUGAGGGGGUUCAUGAAAGAUGGCCAAACUGGCUUUUAUAACAGACCCACUCUCAUGAUAACCUACCCAUUCCCUCUAUAACCCAUUAAUCCAUGAAUGGAUUAACCCUCAUGAGGGCAGAGUCCUUAAGACCUAGUCACCUCCCAAAGGUCCUACCUCUCAAUGCUGCUGCAUUGGGAACCAAGUUUUCAAUAUAUAAAUUAUUUAGGAACACAGUCAAAUCAUAGCAGUGCACUUUUUUUUUUUUUCUUUGUUGAGA